rnacentral:rRNA from 1 species
UACGUAGGCAGCAAGCGUUGUUCGGAGUUACUGGGCGUAAAGGGUGCGUAGGUGGCUCUAUAAGUAUGGUGUGAAAUCUCCCGGCUUAACUGGGAGGGUGCGCCGUAGACUGUGGGGCUAGAGUGUGGGAGAGGAAAGUGGAAUUCCUGGUGUAGCGGUGAAAUGCGUAGAUAUCAGGAGGAACACCAGUGGCGAAGGCGGCGACCUGGACGGACACUGACGCUGAGACGCGAAAGCGUGGGGAGCAAACAGG